AAUGCCGAUUCAGACAGUGAGUUAGAGACCAGUUCCUGCCCCAAGGCCAGCUAGGCCUCGACUCUCCAGAGCCGGAAGGCUUUUUAUUCGCUAUCCUUUCUAAGGGACAGGUGGCUCCCUAGGUCCUUAAAAAAAAAAAAAUCCUGACUCGUUCUCUGUGUCUCCUCUUCUGACUUCAACGCCUUUUCUAUUUUUGAGGCGUUAACCUGACUUGCCCCGUCACCAUUUGCUUCGCUCUAGUGAAGGCGUCUGUGCCACCAUCGGGAGGAACUGAACAGGUGCCCUGCAGAUGGGUGCUUGGAAGAAAAAGAAUAUCGCGUCGAAUUUACCAAUUGCCGUGACGGUUGUGAGCAGCAAGGCGUGUUUCCACGGAGGGAGCUGGAGAUUGACACCAUCCUGUGCUUGUCUAGAAGGGCACUGGUUAAAAUACUUAUUUCCUACCCGUCUGCGGGGCUUUUCCAUGGGGGUUACCCGCAGUGCUGUUUCACAGAGAUUAUAUAUGAACAGGAAGGGGUAUAUAUUCACUCAUCUUUUGGAAAGACCAAUGAUCAAGACAGCUUAAUUUCAGGAAUAUUACGUGUUUUAGAAAAGGAUGCUGAAGUAAUACUGGACUGGAGACCAUUAGAUGAUGCAUUGGAUUCUUCUAGUAUUCUCUAUGCUGGAAAGGUAUUUUUAAGGAAAAAGAAGUAUAACUAAGAGAAUGCUGUUUUGCUGGUGUCACAGGCCUGGAAUCUCAGUAAUUGGAAGGU